rnacentral:lncRNA from 1 species
CUCUCCUGCUUUCGGUUAUCUCCGGUUAUUGCUUGUCUCUCUCUUUCGUGUUUGGUUAUCUCUGGUUCCAAACCAAUAGAUGAUAUUUAUACUGCCUUGACGUGCGGCUUUGGAUAAGGUUCGGUCUGUAUUUCUCUUAUUUUAAGUAUUUUUUUAUUAAUAUAAAAUUUGGUUAAUGGUUUUAUAAUCGCUCCCAAUCUGUUGGUACCGGUGGUUUUCGUUGGCAGGUGGACACGGUCGGUUUUACUUUUCUUUUUCUUCCAAUGGAAAUGUUUUUAAAAUCAAUCAGUGUUUAUCGUCGUUAAUAAAACCAUAUUAAAAAAUAAAUCAGGGAUUAUCUAGAUAAA